CUAAGAAUAUUCCGCAAUGGACGGAAGUCUGACGGAGCGACGCCGCGUGGAUGACGAAGGCCGAAAGGUUGUAUAGUUCUUUUGCUGGGGAAGAAUAACCGCAGGAGGGAAUGCCUGUGGGAUGACAAGAACCGGCGAAUAAGCCCCGGCCAACUACGUGCCAGCAGCCGCGGUAACACGUAGGGGGCGAGCGUUGUUCGGAAUUACUGGGCGUAAAGGGCAUGUAGGCGGCUUGGAAAGCCUGGCGUGAAAGUCUGCAGCUUAACUACAGGGGUGCGCUGGGAACUGCUGAGCUUGAGUGACGGAGAGGGAGCUGGAAUUCCUGGUGUAGGGGUGAAAUCUGUAGAUAUCAGGAAGAACACCGAUGGCGAAGGCAAGCUCCUGGCCGAUGACUGACGCUGAGGUGCGAAAGUGUGGGGAUCAAACA
rnacentral:rRNA from 1 species